AACGAACGCUGGCGGCAGGCCUAACACAUGCAAGUCGAGCGGACCUUUCGGGGUCAGCGGCGGACGGGGGAGUAACGCGUGGGAAUAUGCCCUUCUCUACGGCAUAGUCCUGGGAAACUGGGGGUAAUACCGUAUACGCCCUUUGGGGGAAAGAUUUAUCGGGGAAGGAUUAGCCCGCGUUGGAUUAGGUAGUUGGUAGGGUAAUGGCCUACCAAGCGGACGAUCCAUAGCUGGUUUGAGAGGAUGAUCAGCCACACUGGGACUGAGACACGGCCCAGACUCCUACGGGAGGCAGCAGUGGGGAAUCUUAGACAAUGGGGGCAACCCUGAUCGAGCCAUGCCGCGUGAGUGAUGAAGGCCUUAGGGUUGUAAAGCUCUUUCAGCUGGGAAGAUAAUGACGGUACCAGCAGAAGAAGCCCCGGCUAACUCCGUG
rnacentral:rRNA from 1 species